CCACUGCGGGGACCUCGGUAGUGGCGAUGGAGGCGCGCGUCCCCGCCAAGGCUCGUCCCCGCCUGUCCCCUCUGGGGCUCCGGGAGGGGUGUGGGCGGGGAGCAAGAGCCCCCGACCGAGGUCUUCCUGCAGAACGUCCCCUCUCGUCCCCAUGUGAAAGGGUCCCUGCGGCUUCCAGGCUGCGCCCACGUGUGCGCGGGGCUGUCACCCCUGGCGCGCGCUCUCCGACCGGAGCCUGGGGGUCUCUUAGGGAGAUGGCUGCUCUGGGGUAGUCACCAGGCGCCGGGGAGGCUGGAUGGCGUCUGCCCCCAGGAACUGCCUGGCCGCGCGCGCGCAUCAGCCCCCUCGGCGGAGCUGCACGCCGAUGAGUAUGGCCACGCGAGAAGGACGCGGUGUUGGAGCUGGCUGGAGUCGGGCAGUGGCCUUGGGCGAGGGGAGGAGACAUUCCGGGCAGUGAAUAGAACACUCGGUCAUCCUUCCGAAAGGACCAGCAGAUACUUCUCAAGUCAGGAGGUAUGCUGAUUCUUUUGAACUUCACACAAACUAGAGUCACACGAGUAGAAGAAACCUCAAUUGAGAAUGAGACCUCAAUAAGAUACCGCCACCCCAACCUGGUCUCUUGUAGGCCAGGAUGACCUCCAACUUGCUAUGAAGCCAAGGAUGGUUGCCUCCAUAGGGCUGCUCUGUGUACGUCUGUGGCAGUGCCAUUCAUGGGCAAGUGGACCUGGGCUGUGUAAGAAAGAAAAGAAACCAUUUCUGACUUGGGAUGGAAAGGAGCUGGUGUCAUUCAGGCAAAACUCACCUGUGGUCAGCACACAGAAGCUGGGGCUCAAGGCAGCAUCUCAAACUGGCAGCCAAACUUGGUGAUGUAUAAGAGUCCCAUGUGGUACUGGUUUUGAUGGCAUGCAGGCAGCUGAGGCUUGAUGCUGUGAGACACAGGAAAGGCCAUUGGACAGCACAUUGGAAAAGGAACAUCAGUUAAGUAACUGCCUCCUUCAGGCUGCUCUGUGGUGGGUAUUUUCUUGAUUAAUAAUUGUGCUGGUUGUUUUUCAUUAACUUGACACAAACUUGAAGUCAUUUGGGAAGAGGGACCCCCAAUUGAGAAAAAGCCACUACUAGAUUGACCCCUGGGGUGUUUUCUUAUUGAUAUGGAAGGGUCCCACACAUUGUGGGUGGUGCCACUCCCGGGCUUGUGGUCCUGGGUGCUAUAAGAAAGCAGGCUGAACAAUCCACAAGGGAGAAAGCCAGUAAGCAGCACUCCUCCAUGCCCCCUGUACCAGGUGCAGCUUCCAGGUGCUUGGCCUGUCAUGGUAUCUUAUUACAGCAAUAGAAUACCUACCUAAGAUAGUGAUUGAUGUAGGAAAGCCCAAGCCAGUGUGGGCUGUGCAAUCCAUGGGCUGGCAGGCCUGGACCGUGUAAGAAAGGUAGCUGUGUAAGAAAGGGAGCUGAAGCCCAGUGUAGUAGUGCUUGGGAGGCAAAGGCAAGAGAGUCUCUUGUCAGUUUGAGGCCUAACUGGGCUACACAGUAAGAUUCUGUCUCAAGUAAAUAAACAAGCAAAUAAUCUAACUGAAAAUUUGAUGAACUAAAAAUGGCUAGUGUGUCACCGUAGAAAUUUACCCUGUCUCGUAAAAAAAAAAACAACAAAAAAAAAAGAAA